UUUUCUUCGGAACUGAAGAUUUGGUGAUUGAGUGGCGGACGGGUGAGUAACGCGUGGGUAACCUGCCCUGUACAGGGGGAUAACAGUCAGAAAUGACUGCUAAUACCGCAUAAGACCACAGCACCGCAUGGUGCAGGGGUAAAAACUCCGGUGGUACAGGAUGGACCCGCGUCUGAUUAGCUGGUUGGUGAGGUAACGGCUCACCAAGGCGACGAUCAGUAGCCGGCUUGAGAGAGUGAACGGCCACAUUGGAACUGAGACACGGUCCAAACUCC
rnacentral:rRNA from 1 species